UUUAAGUGUAGUUAUAGUUUCCGUAUCUAACGUGUGACCGUCCAUUUUAUUUGAUUUUUUAUGAUUAAUAUUUUUAUUGUUAUUAGAUGAUAAAACAUGAAUAGUAUUAGUUAUUUUAUAAUUUUUUAAAUAAGAUAAACGUUUAAGCGUUGGACAUAGAAAUCUAUAAAUGCACUUUAA
rnacentral:pre_miRNA from 1 species